GACGAACGCUGGCGGCGUGCUUAACACAUGCAAGUCGAACGGAAAGGCCCUGCUUUUGUGGGGUGCUCGAGUGGCGAACGGGUGAGUAACACGUGAGUAACCUGCCCUUGACUGUGGGAUAACUUCAGGAAACUGGGGCUAAUACCGGAUAGUAGCUCCGGCUGCAUGGUGGGGGUUGGAAAGUUUCGGCGGUUGGGGAUGGACUCGCGGCUUAUCAGCUUGUUGGUGGGGUAGUGGCUUACCAAGGCUUUGACGGGUAGCCGGCCUGAGAGGGUGACCGGCCACAUUGGGACUGAGAUACGGCCCAGACUCGUACGGGAGGCAGCAGUGGCGAAUAUUGCACAAUGGGCGGAAGCCUGAUGCAGCAACGCCGCGUGCGGGAUGACGGCCUUCGGGUUGUAAACCGCUUUCGCCUGUGACGAAGCGUGAGUGACGGUAAUGGGUAAAGAAGCACCGGCUAACUACGUG
rnacentral:rRNA from 1 species